GGUUGUAUCGAUUCGAUCGGGAUACUCAUCAAAUUACAUUGAAAACCGAGACAACUUCUCUUGUCAAUGGCGGGCCACAUAAAGCGCGUCGCGCCUAAGCCGCAGGGCCGGUGGAUUACAAAGACGGGGAGCUCUCAUCACCUUUAUAGUAGGAGUUUUCAUCACAUCAUCGUUACGAUCCCCUUU
rfam:Prevotella sp. S7-1-8 contig034, whole genome shotgun sequence.